rnacentral:rRNA from 1 species
GCAGUGUACCCGCGGCAAGACGGAAAGACCCCGUGAACCUUUACUAUAGCUUGACACUGAACAUUGAGCCUUGAUGUGUAGGAUAGGUGGGAGGCUUUGAAGCGUGGACGCCAGUCUGCGUGGAGCCGACCUUGAAAUACCACCCUUUAAUGUUUGAUGUUCUAACGUUGGCCCCUUACCGGGGUUGCGGACAGUGUCUGGUGGGUAGUUUGACUGGGGCGGUCUCCUCCCAAAGCGUAACGGAGGAGCACGCCG